AUGCAGACUCCGUCAGCUACAUCAGCCUCGCCAUUUGCGGACAUCAUAUCAUCGCUUGUGGGCCUGCACCAAGAACACCACCAGGCCCUGCUGGACCUGCGGGCCGACCAAGACCACCGGUUCCAGGCGAUGAUGAUGGGACCCACUGAUGACCCGGAGGCUUUCCUUGACUUGUUCGAGCGGACUGCGGAGGCGUGUGGGUGGCCGGUGGACAGCUGGCCCGUACGGGUGAUCCCUCUGCUGUCGGGGGAGGCCCAGAAGGCGGCCCAACAACUACCCGUCCCGAACCUCCUGGUCUACGCCGACCUCAGACGAGCCAUCCUCCAGAGGGUGGGCCUCAGCCCAGAACAACAUCCCCAGCGCUUCCGGUCGCUGGAGCUGGCCGAGGUGGGCCGACCCUUUGUGUUGGCGCAGCAGCUCCGGGACUCGUGCCGCAAAUGGCUGUUGGCCGGGGACGGCGACGCCGAAUCCAUCAUCAACGUGGUGGUACUGGAGCAGUUCAUCUCCCGCCUUCCAAAGAAGUCUGCCCAGUGGGUCCAGUGCCACCGCCCGGCGUUGCUGGAUCUGGCCAUCCAACUGGCGGAGGAUCAGCUGGCGGCGUGCUCCGGGGUCGGCGAGCCCCUCCCUGCUGUCUCUCUGUCUCUCUCUGUUUCCCCCUCCCCCCCCACUCCGAAAUCUCUCCCUCUCCCUAGGUCCCGUUGGGUGGGGCCACCGAGGGCUGCGGCCCGCUGGAGGGUGGCGAUGGAGCCUGCGGUCGGGGCACGAGGUCCCGCACGAGGGAUGGCCACUCCCCAGCGACGGGGGAGUGAAGACACUCCGGCUGCUUCCCCACGUCAAUCCCCUGAGCCACUUCCCGCCACUAGGGCAGCGGGGAGACCCGGGCCAGCCUGCUGGCAUUGCGGGGAUCCGGGCCACUUUGUGGACAGGAGCCCGAUGAUGGAGGUGGGCUGUUCCAAAUACCCUGAUUGGCGUGGGGAACCCGCAUUUAAGGAGCGCGACAGCCGGCGAAAGGAGAGAGAGACACGGACUCGUGAGCGCAGGAAGCUGGAGAGCGAUCGAGCAAGUCAGACGCAGUAUUCGUGGCCGAAGUGCUGUUAGAGAGUGCGCGCACCUGUCGCGCUUGUUUGUUUGUUUAUUUGUUUUGUUUUGGUUUUGGAAUAAAGCCUCUCACGAGCCCCGUACGCCGACUCUGGUCUCCUUCCUCUACUCUGAUUGAACUUUCAUUACACUAUCAUUUUGCAUUAUUGACACUGUUUUCCUAAUGAAUGUUGUUUGGUUGCUUUGACGCAAUGUAUUUAGUUUAAAGCGCUUUAUAAAUAAAGGUGACUUGACUUGUUGUACCAUUCUCUGAACAACAGGGGGCGACGAGGACUAAUCAUC
rnacentral:lncRNA from 1 species